CCACACACACACCACCACCACCACCAUCACCACCAAAGGGAAAAUAUCAUCUUGUUGAGCCAUUUGUAGAACUUUUUAGUUGGUGAGUGGUGACUAUAAUAUGGAUAUUAUAUAUGAUUUCAGAAAGCAAAAUGAUCUAUUAACAUCUAUUUGCUGCCAAUUGGAUGAUUACUUGAACCAUCAAUGAUUGCUGUGUUGUUGUAGGUGCCCUAUGAGGCAAAAUGAACCAGAAAUGAUUGUUGUCUUGAGAUAUCCUAUGAGGGGAAAAAGUUCUGAUUGAAGAUCUGAUGGAUGUGAGUAAUGACUAAUGAGAUACAAGAAUUCUGAUGGCUGUGCUACUAGCAUCCUCCAUCUGAAUGGAAUGGUAUUCUGCCUAACCUUUUUUCUGCUAACAUGCACAGAAACUGUUUUCAUUUGACAAAUUACAAAUUUUCAUUUGACCAUCAAGCAUGGUGAGCUGGUUCUUAUAUGAGGGAACAGUACCAUCCUGAUGCAUUUCAAAUUUGUACUUGCAUAAUGUAUUUGAGCUGGUGAUCUGUUUAACAGGAACCUGUAAAGCUUCAUAUUGAAUUUCCUUCCUAUCUGUUGUCCUAGAGCAUGUAGCAUCUUUUGAUCGACAUGGUUUAUUAGUGAAGCCGGAGUUGAAGUACCUCUUGUGCAUGCUCAUUGCUUGGUCAUUUUAUGGAUGCGCAGAGUCACUUGCCUACCGAAUCUACAUUUUAGAACAUGGUUGAUUGCUUGUUGACAAAACCAACUGUUAUUUGAUAGACGUUUUCAAAAAAUAGGCUGCUAUGUAAUAGUUUUGUGAAAGUUAAGUGUGCUUUGUAGUGCAAUCAUUAUAAGUUUUUUAGUUUUGAAAACAUUGGCAGCUGGUAACACGUGUGGAUUCUUUACCAGUACUGUUGAUGAGGUUGAUUGCUUUUUCCUCCCAUAGGCAUUGUUUCACUAAAGGUUAAAUUCAAUUUAUACACGAAGCGUAUGGAAUGUACUCCCUCCUUCCCAAUAUAUAACUAGUUUAAGGGUUCAAAAUUUGUUCCAAUUAUAACUACUUAUAGAGUUCUCAACCCACCUUUUACAUACAAACAGACCAAAAUACCCCCUCCCCCCUUCAUCUAUCUCCCCACGAGCGUGAAUGAAUUUAUCUUCCCUUCUGCGCAGCACCCCUCGCCCCUCCCCCAAAUCCACCAACCUAAUGGAGCUCGUCCUCCUCAACGCGGACCAAAUCGGCGCUCAAUCUCCACCUUCCUCUUGCUGCAUCAAAUCGUGCGAGAUCUGCUCCCAGAAGCAUCCCCACCCCCAAUUUAAAUUGCAGCCAUGGAGCAAUCCCUAGCAAGAUGCAAUGCAGAGCGGGAGGCGGGCGAGGAGGAGGGUCAGGUGGACGACGGGGGCUGUGAUCGCGUGGGUGGCGAGGAGAUGGGCAGUGUGGUUUUUGGGUGAGCCUCGGCGGCGAGAACCAGCUCGCCAGGGAGCUAUGGUUGAAUAAUGUGUCUAUUUUGUUCAAGAUGGGAGGGGGCGACGAUGACGAGUACCUAUUUUUCUCUGAUUCUAAUGAUGAACUCCGUGAUGAGUUUGAUGAGUAAUAUUUUUUGGGCUUCUGUCCUGAUCACAUCACUUGAUGUCAUCUAUUUUCUCACGCCAGCUGUAAAUAUGCAACGGCCUAUACAUAUUUCUACA